rnacentral:rRNA from 1 species
GACAUAGGUGGCGAACGUUAUCCGGAUUUAUUGGGCGUAAAGGAUGCGUAGGUGGUAGAAUAAGUUAUUGGUCGAAGUCAGGCUCAACUUGACGGAAGCUGGUAAAACUAUUUUGCUAGAGGAUAGGAGAGGUUAGCGGAACUCCCUGUGGAGCGGUGAAAUGCGUAGAUAUAGGGAAGAACACCAAUAAGGCGAAGGCAGUUAACUAUUCUACUCCUGACAUUGAGGCAUGAAAGCGUGGGGAGCAAAACGG